rnacentral:rRNA from 1 species
CGGCGAGUGAAGCGGGAUGAGCUCAAGCUUAAAAUCUCUGUGCAGGUUCUGCAUGGCGAAUUGUAGUCUAUGGAGGCGAUGUCAGUGCGGUUGUGCGGGAUAAGUUCCUUGGAAGAGGACAGCAUCGAGGGUGAUACUCCCGUAUGUGCCUGUACAGCUGCGCGUACGACACGUUUUCUUUGAGUCGCGUUGUUUGGGAAUGCAGCGCAAAGUAGGUGGUAAAUUCCAUCUAAAGCUAAAUAUUGGUGCGAGACCGAUAGCGAACAAGUACCGUGAGGGAAAGAUGAAAAGAACUUUGAAAAGAGAGUUAAAGAGUACCUGAAACUGCUGAAAGGGAAUCGAAUCGUUUCCAGUGUCUAUAAUCCAUGACAUAUUUCAUUGGCGCGUGAAUGCGUGCAGCGUUUUGGAAGUGGGUUUCCUCUCCUGGCGUUGUUGUGCGUUUGCUUGCUGGUGCCCUGUGUUGUGGUGGGACGUCAGAGUCAGUUCGUAUGCCGCGGGAAAUGGCUGUCAGGGAGGUAGGUCGCUUCGGUGAUUGUUAUAGCCUGGCAGUUAGUAGUCGUGGUUGGGACUGAGGUGCCUACAACGCGCUUUCGAGUCUGCGGGACUCUCGUCUGGUUGCCUGCUUGGACAGCUUGCUGUGCUAGUGGUCACAUCGGGGCGAUUGAGAUCUGUAGUAACUUGUUGCCGU